GGGGAGCGGAGAGGGGCUGCCUUUUGUCAGGGCCCUGCUCCUCUCCCCGGCCCCGGCACCCCCACCCCGUGCGUGCUCCCGGGGGAGGCGGCCGGCGGCCCUUUGUGUGGCGGGGUGAGGAAGGGGAGCGAAGCGGAGCGCUCCUCCCCACCCUGGGGCCCGCCGGCCGCGCUUCCCUUGAGCACCUGUAACGCCGCUCCUACCCGCCGCCAGUGCCGGCCCCCGCCAGGCCGAAAACUUGGGUCGCGCCGCCGCGGGGGCGAACCCGGUUCCGAGAGGGACCCGCACGCAGCGGCCCGUUAGCGGUUUUGGUUUUUUUUUGGCAGGGGAAAGCGGAGUUAACCCGAGGGCUCAGCUGCACUUGUCCUUCGCGGGCACCGACAGGUACGAGCUGGAGCUGGAGCCGGAGCCUGGGGCGGCGGGGCGGGCGGUGCCGCUUCGACCGCCCGGCGGCGAAAGGCUGGGGGAGGCACCGCCGCCUGCCAGCGGUGAGCCCGGGUUACAAAGCGCAGGUGUUCGCCAGGUAGGAAUAAAUGUCGGAGUUGGGGUGUUCACGUGCAUUUUUUCAGGAAAAGGAGUCAUUUCCAGGCAAGCGGUUACAACCUGUGGGAGCAUCGCCUCAUCUUUUUGGGAAACUGCAUCAACUAAAAGUAGCGGCACGGAGGUGGGGCCUGGCAGAGCCAUGCGAAAGUUUCGCAGCCUGGGUUCUGACGUUUCCUGGUCUUUCAGUGCUUGCCUUCUAGCGUUUUAUUUUGCUUUUAUCAGGAUGUGUAUGCAAAGGUAACAGCGUUUUUAGUGUUUAUAGCUUGAUCGGACAAUCAAACAGCUGGAAGUGUAUUAGACAGUUUACCCAUUAUGAAAAACAAACAAAAAUCCCCCAAGCAACCAACAGUGGGUAUUUGCUUUCUUAUUUGAAUACCCCUGAAUUCUAAAAACUUUGCCUGUAAGCAGAAUAGCCUAUUGCAUGUGCUUUUGUGUGCAGGACAUAUAAACAUGUGGAAAACAGGUGCUGCAGAGAAGGUUUGCGCUUUAGGGGCAGCACCCAAGAUGUAUGUUUAACUCUGACCACACAGACUUUCCCAGUCCCUUCUCCUCUCACAUUGUCAGUGCUCUUUUAGGUCACAGGUCUCUACAUCCCUGCUGCAGCAGCAGUGGGUUACAUUCAUGGAAACCAAACCACGGGUUUCAGGAGCUAAAUUUUUCAGGAAGAGUAUUCCAGGACCAAGGACGAAUGGGGGUUACUACAGACAUGUAGGUGCCUGUGUAUUUUAAGCUAUUUUUAGCAACGUCAGUCAUAUCCAUGUAUUGCUUGGCACCUUCUUGGAUGAGAGGCAUCUGAUUUUUUGAAGUGUAUCAGAUGACAGAGAGAUGCUGGGUACUUUUGUCUUCUUAAUAACUAGAAAUGCUCUUUCUUAAAGCCAGGCGACCCAACGUAGUGUCAGGAAAUGGCUUACAGAAACAACGGGUAAUAUCUAGUGGCUUCUUACGGUAGCUUAACCCAAAGCGGAGGUCAAACAGAACCUGAGAUGCAAGUAGCUAAUCAAGUCAACAGCAGCCAUGCUCUGUUCUCCAUGAGAUAUGUGCCAUAAGAAAGGGUGACCCUGUGACAGUUAACUACAAGAGAGAGGACUCUGCAGAGAGAAAGUGUAGAUUCAGAUAAAUCACUAUUUUUUUUUUUUCAGUACCGCACAAGAACAUUUUCAGUGUUGGUUAAAAAGAUCUGGUUGGUCAUCCAGGGAAAAGGGCCGGUUAAUGAUGACAUGAAAGAGGAGAGAGGACUCCUUAAUUUGGAAAUACUGUCAAAAAGAGCUUUGAAAGAAGAAUCUGUGGAGCACAAGGGAGACAUCAAUAAAAGAUGCAAUUUUAAUUUCAGUUCUGCUUUGUGUUGCAAGCACUUUUUGAUCUCUGUCCCUAUAGCAGUAAACUAAACGGGGGUAGGGUUCAGACUCAAACUGUGGCACAUGGUUGUCCUCUGUCCUCUUUCCGUGGUGCUGGUGUCCCCAGGGUGGUUUCACCCCAGCCACCUACCAGUCUCUGAAGCCAUUCCCAGCACAUCUCGUGGGCCGGUGUGAGCCAGAGGCCGUUCCCGGCAGACCGCCUGCGUGCAGUUGACCUCUGUCGGCAGAUAAGAGUUUAGCUGUGCGUAUGCAAGCCGUGUUGUGCCAGCUGGUUUCCGUGCCAAAGGACAGUUCCUGACCUGCUUUAUUUGCUAGUAGAAACAUGAGGUUUUGGACUUUUGUGAUCCCUGCUGUGUUAUGUGUCAAAGCAGAACCUUAGGCACUGGCUGGUUGCAAGCAAUGAGAAGUCAGACAAGAGGGACCGAGCAUUUUUUGAUUUAGCAGGAUUUCUGCAGAAUCUUUGCUUGACAGAAGAUACAGUUGUGUUGGCUAGCAGUAUCAGAAUUUAUAGAAGAAAUUAAUUUAGUUACAAAGAGUCUCUCCUUGGUUUUCUCAAAAGUUAUUUCUUCUGCAUUAAAUAUAACACCGCCUUUGAAAAUAAUGCUAUAUUCCAUGGAAAAUACUCUUUUGUUCCAGAUAUGCCAAGAAGCUGGGGUGAAUUUCGGCAGGGAAGCAGUUAAGUUUCAGGCAAAUGUCAAGAACAAAUGGCAUUUAGGGGUUUUGAAGAAAUUAAUAAAGAAAAUAACUAAGCCACUAGAGUAAAUGUGUUCUUUCAGUUUAUGACAGCUGAAGGUAAAGGGGAUUGUAAUGAGGCUGAAAUAUCUUGAGAUAUCCAUCCUAAAUAGGAGGAGUAGGGUGGGAUUCCUAAGAAUUGUAAAUCAGCAAAAUAUUAUGACAAAAAUUGUACCACAGAGCACCUCCUUCAAAUGCAUGUACAUUGUGUUUCUGGUGCUCUGACAUUGUGAAAAUGCUAUAAAUAAAUAUGGGGUGGGUUUGCUUUUUUUUUUUUUUUCUUUUUUUUUCAACUUUUCAGCUCAAACAAAAGCUGGGAUGAGAAAGCCCGGAAGGAUCUAACAGAUGCCGAGGUGCUGGACUUGCUCAUCAAUUGCACAGAAUUUGCAGGCUAUGAAUGGAUAAACUCUGCCAGGUAUUUGAGACUUGCUGGUGUAGCUGCGCUUUGGGAGUCAGGCUGGGAAGAUUAACUUCUCCUGGUCUAGUGCCCAGUGCCUAUUGCUAAGAGCAUCUUUCUUACAAGGAGAGACUGAGAGAGCUGGGUCUGUUCAGCCUGGAGAAGAGAAGGCUGAGAGGGGACCUCAUCGAUGCUCAUAAAUAUCUCAAGGGUGGGUGUCAAGAGGAUGGGACCAGGCUCCUUUCAGUGGUGCCCAAUGACAGGAUGAGGGGCAACAGGCACAGACUGAAGCACAGGAGGUUCCAUCUGAAUAUGAGGAGAAACUUCUUUACUCUGAGGGUGCCAGAGCACUGUAACAGGCUGCCCAGAGAGGCUGGGGAGUCUCCUCUGGAGACAUUCAAAACCCACCUGGACACAUUCCUGAGUGAUCUGCUCUAGAUGAACCUGCUUUAGGAGGUGGGUUGGACUGGAUGAUCUCCAGAGGUCCUUUCCAACCCCAACCAUUCUGUGAUUCUGUGAACACUGUAAAAUAUGAUUUACCUUAAAUUGUAAGGAGUAAGAAGAGGUGUACAAAGGUAUCUAAACAGAUAGUCAUUACUUUGUGUCCUGUGCAGUCUGGUGUGAUUCUACAUGCACAUAUUUCAAGCAAGAGCAGAAUUAUGGUGCUAUAGAAAGAAGUUCUCUUAGUAUGAGCUGCACCUGUUUCUGCCAGUUAAGUCUGGAGGGGCUACAAAAUGACAACAGGUUGGUUUUCAGGGAGAGAUUACAUCAAUUGUGUCUAUCAAAUAUCUGAGACCUUUCUUUAUUAACAACUGGUCUGAGCCAUGCCUUGUACAGAAUCACAAACUGUAUGUAAAUUCAAAGUAAUCUACUGUGAAAAAAAUAUGCAGAAAAUUAAGCCUCAGAGCUGUUAUUUGGAGAAGUUCUCCAGGGUAUGUUGGGAAGAUUUCUGAAACACGAUGAGAAGAAAAUAGUGAUGAUUGUCCACAGGGAAGAGGAAAUUGAAAAAAAAUAUACUGACAAUAAUUCUCUUUUUUUAAUAACUGUGGCAGAGCAGUUGAGAUAUGUAUAAUAAAGUGCUGGGAUUAAUGAUUUAUUAGUGGUAAAUAUAAUGGAAAUAUGAUAAAGUGGGAAAAGGAAGACCCCGGGCUUGAUAGAAUCCCAUUGGUAGGCUGCACAAUUCCAUGUUUUUACAAGAUGUGAGCAAAAUAUGUUACCAGAAAACAUAGCCUGCCUUCUUAUUACACCGUGAACAUUAACAAACAUGACUCACAGGCUCAGGGGACACCAUGCAAUGAUACUCUGCUUUCUGAUGGUAUAAAGUAUCUCCAGAAAUUCCUUCUCUGGUAUGAAAAAUUUACCUUAAUGCAAAUCCUAAGAACUCACUAAAAGUACCAGCAGUCUCUACAUAAAUAAUAGAAAGACUCUUGACUUCAGGGUUAUUCUAUGGCUGAAAAUUCAAGCUGGAUGUGCUAGAAAUACCAGCGUAGCCUGUAGUAGUCCUUUUAGGCUGUAGCAGGUUAGAUGUUAUCAAAGGGCACUACUGAAGAUUCAGCUUGUUAUGGCUGGGUGAUCCUUUCGUGCCCACCAGAGUUUUUGAUGACACACAGGCCAGUUGUCAUAACAAAUGGGACUGUGUGGAAAGGAAUUGGUUUGGGGAGGAAUCAAAUGGACAAGACUCUCAGAUGUGUGCAUUGACUAGGAAGAAAGCUGUUUGGCUACAAGGAAAAAUAAAUGUGCAUACCAACUGUUCUUUGAUACCCUUCCUGAACUCACUUGAUCAAAAAGCAGCGUACAGGCUUGGAAGCUUUAAAAACCAGAUGGUGGACUGGGAGACUUCUGAAGCAUUGUCACAAUCUGUGUGAGGACACAUGGGGUUCUGGAGAUGAAGUCAUUCAUUGUAAGUCUUCUAUCAUUUAUUACCAUGAUCCCCUGAGCUAGUCACUGGAGCAAAAGUGAAGAUACACUCCAGUCUUGUAAGAUGUAAGAGGAAUGAAUAAAGCAGGCAGAAAACUACCUCCAGGGAAUCAGCUGAGAGAGGGGAAUCCUGUGGUGGGACCUUCCUGUUGGAGGGUAGUAGGAAAUCUGUAGCAGCAGGAACAGGGAAACCAUAGCUAACAUGGAGGAAGACUCUUAAUUUAUAUUGCUCCAAUAAGUCAAGUUAGAAACUCUGAACUCCUUUGAAAUUCAAAAAGGGGUUUUCUGUGUUUGGUUUGUUGGUUGGUUUGGUUUGGGUUUUUUUUGUUGUUUGUUUGUUUUGGUUUGUUUUGUGGGGUGGUUGUUGUUGUUUUCAUUCUAAUCAAACCAGUGCUUUGUGGGAAGCAUCAGCAGCACAAAGCAGGCGGUGUUUGCGCACCUGAUGCUUGCCAUAGCUUCCCUGCACAGCAGAGCUUCCAGAUGGGAGAGCUAGGUAUGGCUCUCCCUGAGCAACACAAUCUCAAAGGCCUGGCACGAGACAGAAGACGAUUUCCCACAGGCCCGGGGAAAUCUACAGAGUGAGCAUCUCCCUGUACACUGAUUUAGCAAAUGUGAGAUUUCUAGCAAAUUCAUGCUGGAAGUGACCGUGGAAAUUCUGUUGUGUUUUUUUCCUCAGUGGUUGGCACAGAAUCAGACUCUUGCAACUUCUAGUGCUUGUAAAGCAUGUGUGAUGUGUGCAGCAUAUGAUUCUCUUUCCUGUCCUCCCUUCCUUCCAUUUGGGGUGUUAAGAGUCAGGCCAGUCCUCUCUUUAGCAGUCCCACAGUCGUUAAAGGUGCUGGGAGGACUGGGAGAUCCUCCUGUAACCCCGAGCGUGGAAUACAUCUAAACGGAAGGAAGAAGAUUCCCUGGCUAGAGACCAGGGGACUCUAAAGAUGCUUAGGUCCUACAAAACCCCACAGCUUCAGGCUGCAAGGUCCAGACCUUGUGAGAUAAAUAAGAUUAGUCCUAAUCUGUGUAUUGGGGACAGACGCGGCCACAAGCAAUACAAGUCAUGUGGGAGGACGAAGCUGUAAGUCCAUCCUGCUAAUGGCUUGUACAAGAGCCCCAAAUUCUACCUUCAGUCUUCACGUUUCAAAUUUUGCAUGUCUGUGUCUUUGUUGUCAUAAUGACAGAAGGUACUGAGAAUAUUUUGUCUUUGUUUUCUUGGACAUAGAUGCAAAUCAUCCUUUGCCAUGUAUGUUUUCAUUCUCUUCUAGUUGAUUUUUUUCUUGGCUUUCCCAAGAGUUUUAAAAAGCUUGUUAAUGGAGUUCAUUGUGCUUAUAUUGGGCACUGUUAGACAGUAAAGAGAUUUUUAAUGUGUGACAACUAAAUACAAUACAUGCUAAAGGGCUUGGGCUGAAUGUCAUGAUUGAAAGUAUGUUGUAUGUACUAUUUGUUCUUACUCUCAGUGCAGCAUCCAACACAGAAUCUUCUGCUGGCUGUAGUGGCAGCUUAGACACCUGCAUUGUACACACAGAACUCUCAGUGCCUGAACCUGAACCUCACGCUUCACCAAGCUGGAUCAUAUUUUGAUGUUGAGUUGUGCAAAUACUCAGCUCUCACUUAAUUCCUGCCUUAACUUAUGCAGAGAAGAGGCAGAGAAGAUAGCAUCGCUCUUAAAAAAAUUCUCCCUGAAGAUCCUGAAAUGUGUGAGUUGUCAGGUAAUGUGUCACUUGAGCCAAAAUUAUAGGAUACAGGUAGUUUGCAGUAAACUCAGUGGGUUAAAAAUUCCUUUUUUCCAAUACUUUCAAAUCACAACUUUUAUAAUUUAAAAAAAUAUUGAAAGAGUCCUGUGAGACCAUAUAUCCUUUUUGAGCAACUAGCAUUAAUGGACUCAGAGGGAGGGUUAAUUUCCAAAGCAUGCACCAUUUUAUUCGAGUAAAGGACAGAUAAACUUGAGUCUUAAUUUUCUUGGAAAAAGACCUGGGAAAAGCAACAGAGCUGGAUGCAGGAGGGAGGUAAGAGAGAUUAUGUCCCACACAAAAUUCACCGGGGGAUGUGGUGAGGGGGAACAGAUUGUGGUGUUUGUGUGCACGUUCAAAUAUUUCUUGGAUAGCAGCAACCAAGGCAGUAACCAUUGUGGUGGUGACCGUGUUGCUUCUCAUCUGCUGGUUUGUCCGCUGAAUGCUGCUCUGAGACAGCACAGAAAAGAGAGAUCUGCCUUGUUAUCUCCUGUGGGACUGUGCUUUGCUCAAACGUGGAUGGAACAGUUUCCUUCUUUCAGAAUGGAGCAUGGAGAACUAAAACACACUGCUGGGGAAAGGGAGCUACCCCAGCACAGCAGGUAUUAGAUAAGAGGCAAGAAAGGGGAGGUACAAACAUAUGUAUCCCAUUUGUUACUUAUAGGGAAAACAAGAGUUGAGCAGGCGUUAAAGACUGAAGCCCUUAUCAAACUCUCAGAAUAGACAAUUGUAAGCUACAUACCAUUUGGGGUUAGUUUUUUGCACAUGCACAUUUUUUUACUUACCCAGAUGUGUGUGCCCAGCUAACCAGCUCUUAACUGUGUAUGCUCACUUUUCUUCUUUUUUUUCUCUAAGUUCCUACUGGCAGUCAAAGCAGUUGCUGUUCUCUGAAUUCCCCCAAACUCUUUGGUUAUCCCCCAGUCAGCACAUCAGACUGCCCACAGUGCAGCACUCAAGUACCGUGUGCAGUUUUGGGCUACUCACCAUGGAUGGUUCCAUCCCGGCCAGUUUCUUGCAGUACAGAGAUGCACAGACACUGCCCUUGGGACACCCUAAUACAUAAUUUGGGCUUUCUAGGAAGAGUCACUUAAAAGCCAAGUGAAUCCUAGCUGUUACUGAGUUGCGUCACGGCAUCAGCAUUAAGUUUUGUGGUCUUGUGCCUGAAAUCCCUUAGGAAGUAAGGUCUGUCUUUCUGGACUAUAAUUUUAUCAGAAUGAAAGGUAACAUGGUAUGUCCUCAUAGCUGGGAAUAAACAGUUAGACUUCAACCUAAUUAAUAUUGACAAAUUUCUCUAGCUAUACAGUUUAAAAUCAUAUUUGAAGCAAGCUGCUCAGCACUUCCUAGAAGAAUACUUUUCUAGGCUAGUGACUUUGUUGGCAGUAUUUUCUGAAAUAAAAGCCAGAAUAGCACUUGAUGGUCUUGAACCUUGGACCAGGAUUUGUUUUCCUUCUUUUCUAAAACUGUUUAUUAGAUUGCAAGAUCGAGCUUUCGAAUUUGGUUAACAUUUCAGUGUGAAGUAUCUUUACAAAACAUGUUUAAAAUCUCAAGGUAAGUGUUGAUGUGUGGUUUUGAACAACAAUUAGUAUUGUUUUUCUUGUUAAGAAGAAGUGGCACACCAGCUUUUCCCACGUUAAAUAAGGAGACUGGAUGUUAACAGUUCUUCCUGAUACAAACAGGGAGCCUCUGAAGCUGGCAGGACACUGCACCGUAUAUAUUUUUAAAAGCUUAAUAUACCAUGAAAUUUCUUAAUCAAAAUGAAUAAUGGAAAACAAAAACAAAUCUUUUAGUAGUUUAAAACUGAAUGCUCCUCCUAUUUGUCUCCUUUAAAUGGAAAAUAAAUUAUUAACAGUCUCUGCUAUUAAUUUACUGUAGACUCACCAGUUAAAAAGAACUUAUCACACACUGCCAUUUCCUGAUAAACACAUCUAAACCUGGAUAGGCGACAUUAGGCAUCAGAUAAACUGUUUUGUGUAACAAAAUGAGUCAACGGCUGUAUUUUUUAGCCCUGUCCUAUCAUUUCACUGUGCAAAUGAAGCCUUUGAAUAGCUAUGACUUUUGCUUUAGCAUUUGAAUGAAAUUAGAAUGAAAAGACCUGUAAGUAUGUGUAAUGGAAACGCACAACAACAAAGCUUUAUUAGAAUGGUCAAAUAACAUUUUGAAAUUCCUGAAGAGCGUCACUUGAGGAAAUCUGAAUACUCAGAAAACAAAACCAAGAAACUUGAGUCUGUCUCAAACAUAUGGUCAAUGGGGCAGAGUCUAGUUGGAGGCCUGUAUCUAGUGGAGUGCCUCAAGGAUCAGUACUGGGACCAGUAUUAUUCAAUAUAUUCAUCAAUUACUUGGAUGAGGGACUAGAAUACACUGUCAGCAAGUUUGCUGAUGACACCAAGCUGGGAGGAGUGGCUGACAUGCCAGAAGGCUGUGCUGCCAUCCAGCGAGUCCUGGACAGGCUGGAGAGUUGGGCGGGGAAAAAUUAAAUGAAAUAUGACAAGAGCAAGUGUAGAGUCUUGCAUCUGGACAGGAGCAACCUCAGGUUCCAGUAUAAGUUGGGGAAUGACCUUUUAGAGAGCAGCGUAGGGGAAAGGGACCUGGGGAUCCUGGUGGACAGCAGGAUGACCAUGAGCCAGCAUUGUGCCCUUGUGGCCAGGAAGGCCAAUGGCAUCCUGGGGUGCAUUAGAAGGGGGUGGUUAGUAGGUCGAGAGAGGUUCUUCUCCCCCUCUACUCUGCCCUGGUGAGACCACACCUGGAAUAUUGUGUCCAGUUCUGGGCCCCUCAGUUCCAGAAGGACAGGGAACUGCUGGAGAGAGUCCAGCACAGGGCAACAAAGAUGUUUAAGGGAGUGGAGCACCUCCCUUAUGAAGAAAGGCUGAGGGAGUUGGGUCUCUUUAGUUUGGAGGAGACUGAGGGGUGACCUUAUUAAUGUUUAUAAAUAUAUAAAGGGUGAGUGUCAGGAGGAUGGAGCCAGGCUCUUCUCGGCAACAACCAAUGGUAAGACAGGGUAAUGGGUUCAAACUGGAACACAAGAGGUUCCACUUAAAUAUGAGAAGAAACUUCUUCACAGUGAGGCUGCCAGAGCACUGGAACAGGCUGCCCAGGGAUGUUGUGGAGUCUCCUACUCUGGAGAUGUCCAAACCCCGCCUGGACAUGUUCCUGUGUAACCUCAUCUAGGUGUUCCUGCUCCAGCAUGGGGAUUGGACUAGAUGAUCUUUCGAGGUCCCUUCCAAUCCCUGACAUUCUGUGAUUAACUUCAGGAUUUUAUGCAGCAGUAUGGCAUAUAUUGCAGGAAAAAAAAAUGUAGUCUCAUUGUAGAAUACAGGAAACAGUUUCCAAUUAAAUCUACAAUGUAACUUACUAAAAGAGCAUAAAGGAAGCUGAAGGAGCUAAUGGAAAACAUAAGGUAUUCUAUCAAGAAUACUGUUCAGACACUACUAACUUUCUAUUCUUUUAUCCUCAAAUAAGUAAACAUAUUUUUACAUGCAAAAUAAAAAGUUGUGUACUUAUGAUGUAUUUUGUUCCUCUUACUACUGUGUUCCUCCUAAAAUUCAGAUGCAUCAUCAUGUUUUUACCAAAACAUUUUCAAUUUAAUAUUCCUAUCUAAUUGCAAUUUAUACAUUUUUUCUUCAUGGCAUGAAAAAAGGGAAAAUCAUCUUCCAUAUUUACCUUUUCCCCUCAAACUACCUCCUCCAGAAGCUCAUUCAGUCGAACCACAAAAUUUCUUGACGUACAAAAAAAGGACAUAGGUGCAAUAUGCUUGUAUUGACAUAUAAAUAUAAGAAUCUGUUACUCUGAAAUCUUUAUAACAGAAAGUGCAAAAUGAAUAUACAAGCUACGUGCCUAUGGAUUCUACGUAGCCUCAGUGUGGAAGAGGACGGCACCCGAGCUGCCGCUCUGACCUGCUCUGCAGGGCCUUUCCAGGACACUUCAGCCCGACUGCCUCGAUGCACCAUAUUGUCUGUGAUGGGUUUGCAGAGACAAAGUCCCAUAAUAUUGUAAUGCCAAAUGAAAGAAAAUGAUGGUA